CACAGCAGGCUUACUUGAGGGCAGCUAUAUGCACUAUUUUUUAAGCCAUUUGAUAAUAGAAUGCCUAAAAAUGAUACACCAUUU